rnacentral:rRNA from 1 species
ACUCCUACGGGAGGCAGCAGUGGGGAAUAUUGGACAAUGGGCGAAAGCCUGAUCCAGCAAUACCGCGUGUGUGAAGAAGGCCUGAGGGUUGUAAAGCACUUUCAAUAGGAAGGAACACCUAUCGGUUAAUACCCGGUAGACUGACAUUACCUAUACAAGAAGCACCGGCUGACUCCGUGCCAGCAGCCGCGGUAAU